rnacentral:rRNA from 1 species
CUAAGAAUAUUCCGCAAUGGACGAAAGUCUGACGGAGCGACGCCGCGUGGAUGACGAAGGCCGAAAGGUUGUAAAGUCCUUUUGCUGGGGAAGAAUAACCAUGGGAGGGAAUGCCCGUGGGAUGACAUGAACCGGCGAAUAAGCCCCGGCUAACUACGUGCCAGCAGCCGCGGUAACACGUAGGGGGCGAGCGUUGUUCGGAAUUACUGGGCGUAAAGGGCAUGUAGGCGGCCUUGUAAGCCUGGCGUGAAAGUCACCGGCUCAACCGGUGGAUUGCGUUGGGAACUGCAGGGCUUGAAUCAUGGAGAGGGAGCUAGAAUUCCUGGUGUAGGGGUGAAAUCUGUAGAGAUCAGGAAGAAUACCAGUGGCGAAGGCGAGCUCCUGGCCAAUGAUUGACGCUGAGGUGCGAAAGUGUGGGGAUCAAACAGGAUUAGAUACCCUGGUAGUCCACACUGUAAACGAUGUGCACUAGGUGCUGGGGCGGAUGCUUCAGAACCGGCGCUA